AAACUGCAGGUCGGAGGAAGAGCUGUGUCCCAAAGGCAGGGCUAGGUCCAUCCAAUCAUUUUGCUCAGCUGAUUGGUUACCGUGGAGAUUAAAUGACUUCUCAAACAUGUGACACUAAGGCGACACUACAGGAAUGUUUUAUGAGGGAAGAACUUUAUAUCUUGACGUAAAGCUCAAACAUGUCGAUAUUACAUAAUAUUGCCCCUUUAGCAUUUUUACCAGAGCAGUAAUAACAGGAAGUCACCUAAAUAAAAAAUGUCUUGUCUUUGGUUAGUGUUGAUCUACAUUUUGCAUAAAUAUUAAAAUUGGACUCAGAUUUUUUUUAUGAUUUCUCAGACAAAAUCUAAAGGCUACUUAAAUAUCUCGGCUUCAGGGAAGACAGGAAACCAGAAAGUCAGUCAUGGAAGAUUUUUUAUCCUUCUUUUCGGUUUCUGCUGCAGAACUGGUUCUUGAUCCAGAGCCGGAUAAUACCGAGUUUGAUUCUUCCAAACUGGUCCAAGUCACAAAAUGCUGAGCAGCAAUGGAAAACCGUAGUAACGGCCGCACAGAAGUAGAAAUCUGACC